rnacentral:lncRNA from 1 species
UGUGUUUGCCAGGCACUGGCAUAGCCUCACAAGAGACAGUUAUAUCAGGGUCCUUUCAGCAAAAUCUCCGAUGCAAUACUAUUAAUACCAGGAGUAAAAGAAGCCCAGAAAACCUUUCAAAUCUCUGUGCAUGUGCUUAGUAUCCCACAAGGACAAGUUGCCCUUUUUUCCAUGUGAGGCCACCAAGGAACAGUGUUUACGAUGAGUGACUUGUCACCAGGCAUGCACUCUGCCAGCACCUUGGUUUUCCCAGACUCCAGAAUAGCAAGAAAUUAGUUUCUAUGACUACAAAUUGCCUAAUCUAAGGCAUUUUGUUAUCACAGUGGGAGUGGACCAAGAACCCAUUUGCUCUUUUUCUGUUCUUGAGCAAUAUACAUCUGUCAAGACUUUGCUAAAAAAAAAAAAAAAAAAAAAAAAAAUCCUAGUCUUUGUUGUAAAUGACAUUGGUCCUGUGUGGGUGUGCAUGCGGCCAGACAUUUGUCAUAUGUCGGUGCCAGGGCUGUAUUGACUUCAGGAGCGAAACUGGAAACCUUUUGUGUUCUUUUACACACUGCUGUAGGGCUGGAGCAUAGUCUACUGGCAAUACCCAUGUGUGCUGGCCUCAAUGAAUGUGUGCAGAAAGGAAUGAAAACUCCCUCAGGGUGGUGUGCAGGUUUGCCACAGACCAUCCUGUUUCCAGAUGUUCGCCAUGGGAAACAGAUUGUGUCUCCACAGUGCCAUCUGGCUCGGAAGGUUGACUCUGCAGACAUCAAAGCUCACUUGUCAGAAUUUUGCUCACGUUCCCAGUAUAUGUCCCCACCAUUGCCCCGACGCUGUCACCUUCAGCAAUGCACCCUGGAAGGCAGAAGUGCUUUGAGUUGCCAAUCAAGAAGCAGUAAUAUCUUUAUGCAGAGGAAGGACAAGACUGUAUCGCACAAGUGCAGAGUUCUAUCAUUGGCUUUAAAAAUAACAUUUCCGGCUGGUCUUAAAAGAGAAAAGAAGGUUCUAAGCAGUGAAGAGAUUAGACUCUGAACCUAGUUUUUUGUUUGUUUGUUUAUUUUGGUUUUUUGUUUUGUUUUGUUUUGUUUUUUAUUCUCUGCAGAAGAGGUUUCAUUUGAAAUGUUUUAUCUCCAGCAGGUUGACAGACUACUAUAGUUACUAGCUUCAUUUAUUGGGGACUGGAAAGUAAUAAUAAUAAUAAUAAUAAUAAUAAUAAUAAUAAUAAUAAAUAAUCCCUCCCUAUUACAGGCCCACCUGUGUCUGCAGGGUGAACUAGAUGUCCUGAGCAGCAGGAAUGGGAUGGAAGGAUGGAAAUAAAUUGAAACAAGAGUGGUCUU